rnacentral:rRNA from 1 species
CCUACGGGAGGCAGCAGUAGGGAAUUUUGCGCAAUGGGCGAAAGCCUGAAGCAGCAACGCCGCGUGGAGGAUGAAGGUUUUCGGAUUGUAAACUCCUUUUGUUAGAGAAGAUAAUGACGGUAUCUAACGAAUAAGCACCGGCUAACUCCGUGCCAGCAGCCGCGGUAAUACGGAGGGUGCAAGCGUUACUCGGAAUCACUGGGCGUAAAGGGCGCGUAGGCGGGAUAGCAAGUCAGAUGUGAAAUCCUAUGGCUUAACCAUAGAACUGCAUUUGAAACUGUUAUUCUAGAGUAUGGGAGAGGUAGGUGGAAUUCGUGGUGUAGGGGUAAAAUCCGUAGAGAUCAAGAGGAAUACUCAUUGCGAAGGCGACCUGCUAGAACAUAACUGACGCUGAUGCGCGAAAGCGUGGGGAGCAAACAGGAUUAGAUACCCCUGUAGUC